ensembl:lncRNA
AUGGAACAAGAAUGGAACUUUUUUGUAAAUCCAAAUGGAAAACUCCUGAUAGGCAUCAGUCUUCAAGAUAAUUGUGAGAAGACACUGCAUGUUCUCAGAGUGAACAAGCUAAAGGAUCUUCUUAGCUGUUGAAGGUCUGUGAAACUGAAGUUUGUUAAAACAGCUGUAGAUUCUGAUGUCUGUUUCCACGAGUCCUGCAGAGUAUGCGACACACAGACGAUAACUGCCACCACACCAUGAGAAGUGUCUCUCUCUCUCACACACACACACACACACACACACACUUGAGUAAAUAAAAACUCACAAGAAGUUCACGAUGUUUUAAAAAAAAAAUAAUUUUAAUGUCAAAAUAGUUUCUCCCCCACUUGUCACGGGUCUGUAAGGGCACUUGUCGGGGGUCACCAAGACCACUUGUUGCGGGUCUGUAAGGGCACUUGUCGGGGUCACCAAGACCACUUGUUGCGGGUCUGUAAGGGCACUUGUCGGGGUCACCAAGACUACUUGUUGCGGGUCUGUAAGGGCACUUGUCGGGGUUCACCAAAACCACUUGUUGCGGGUCUGUAAGAGCCCUUGUCGGGGUCACCUAAACCACUUGUUGCGGGUCUGUAAGAGCACUUGUCAGAGGUCAACAAGACUCCUUGUCGGGGGUCACCAAGACCACUUGUUGCGGGUCUGUAAGGGCACUUGUCAGAGUUCACCAAGACUCCUUGUCGGGGGUUACCAAGACCACUUGUCGGGGUCUGUAAGGACACUUGUCGGGGGUCACCAAGACCACUUGUUGCGAGUCUGUAAGAGCACUUGUCGGCGUCACCAAGACCACUUGUCGUGGGUCUGUAAGGGCACUUGUCGGGGUUUGUAAGGGAACUUGUCAGAGGUCGCCAAGACCCUUUGUUGGGGUCUGAAGGAGCACUUGUCAGAGGUCACCAAGACCCCUUGUUGGGGUCUGUAAGGGCACCUGUCAGAGGUCACUAGACCCAAUUGUCGGGGUCUGUAAGGGCACCUGUCAGAGGUCACCAAGGCCCCUUGUCGCGGGUCUGUAAGGGCACUUGUUGGAGGUCACCAAGACCCCUUGUCGGGGUCUGUAAGGGCACUUGUCAGAGGUCACCAAGACCCCUUGUUGGGGUCUGUAAGGGCACCUGUCAGAGGUCACUAGACCCAAUUGUCGGGGUCUGUAAGGGCACAUGUCAGAGGUCACCAAGGCCCCUUGUCACGGGUAUGUAAUGGCACUUGUCAGAGGUCGCCAAGACCCCUUGUUGGGGUCUGAAGGAGCACUUGUCAGAGGUCACCAAGACCCCUUGUCACGGGUAUGUAAGGGCACUUGUCAGAGGUCACCAAGGCCCCUUGUCGGGGUCUGAAGGAGCACAUGUCAGAGGUCACCAAGGCCCCUUGUCGCGGGUCUGUAAGGGCACUUGUUGGAGGUCACCAAGACCCCUUGUCGGGGUCUGUAAGGGCACACGUCAGAGGUCACCAAGGCCCCUUGUCGCGGGUCUGUAAGGGCACUUGUUGGAGGUCACCAAGACCUUGAUUCUUGAAAAAGACAAAGCUGACGAGUUUCCUGUGGUGGUUGAAUCAGGUGUAGAUCUGUUAAGUAAUGACAUACCUUUUCCUCUGUGGAUUUAAGAAGACUUACUGUAAAAAAAAAAAAAAACAUAGGUUUCUAG